AACGAACGCUGGCGGCAGGCCUAACACAUGCAAGUCGAGCGAGGACUUCGGUUCUAGCGGCGGACGGGUGAGUAACGCGUGGGAAUGUGCCCUUCUCUACGGAAUAGCCCUGGGAAACUGGGAGUAAUACCGUAUACGCCCUUUUGGGGAAAGAUUUAUCGGAGAAGGAUCAGCCCGCGUUGGAUUAGGUAGUUGGUGGGGUAACGGCCUACCAAGCCGACGAUCCAUAGCUGGUUUGAGAGGAUGAUCAGCCACACUGGGACUGAGACACGGCCCAGACUCCUACGGGAGGCAGCAGUGGGGAAUCUUAGACAAUGGGGGCAACCCUGAUCGAGCCAUGCCGCGUGAGUGAUGAAGGCCUUAGGGUUGUAAAGCUCUUUCAGCUGGGAAGAUAAUGACGGUACCAGCAGAAGAAGCCCCGGCUAACUCCGUG
rnacentral:rRNA from 1 species